rnacentral:sRNA from 1 species
AUUCUCCCCAGACGCCGAGAUGCGGGUCAUGGCGCCCCGAACCCUCAUCCUGCUGCUCUCGGGAGCCCUGGCCCUGACCGAGACCUGGGCCGGCUCCCACUCCAUGAGGUAUUUCUACACCGCUGUGUCCCGGCCCGGCCGCGGAGAGCCCCACUUCAUCGCAGUGGGCUACGUGGACGACACGCAGUUCGUGCGGUUCGACAGCGACGCCGCGAGUCCAAGAGGGGAGCCGCGGGCGCCGUGGGUGGAGCAGGAGGGGCCGGAGUAUUGGCACCGGGAGACACAGAAGUACAAGCGCCAGGCACAGGCUGACCGAGUGAGCCUGCGGAACCUGCGCGGCUACUACAACCAGAGCGAGGACGGUGAGUGACCCCGGCCCCGGGCGCAGGUCACGACCCCUCCCCAUCCCCCACGGACGGCCCGGGUCGCCCCGAGUCUCCCGGUCUGAGAUCCACCCCGAGGCUGCGGAACCCGCCCAGACCCUCGACCGGAGAGAGCCCCAGUCACCUUUACCCGGUUUCAUUUUCAGUUUAGGCCAGAAUCCCCGCGGGUUGGUCGGGGCUGGGGCGGGGCUCGGGGGACGGGGCUGACCACGGGGGCGGGGCCAGGGUCUCACACUCUCCAGUCGAUGUAUGGCUGCGACCUGGGGCCCGACGGGCGCCUCCUCCGCGGGUAUGACCAGUACGCCUACGACGGCAAGGAUUACCUUGCCCUGAACGAGGACCUGCGCUCCUGGACCGCCGCGGACACGGCGGCUCAGAUCACCCAGCGCAAGUUGGAGGCGGCCCGUGCGGCGGAGCAGCUGAGAGCCUACCUGGAGGGCCUGUGCGUGGAGUGGCUCCGCAGAUACCUGGAGAA